rnacentral:snRNA from 1 species
AUAUCUUUCUUGUCCCUUUGAUUAAGAUAAAGUGUAAUAUUUAUUCUUAUCAGUCUAAUAUCUAAUUUAUGGAUAAUAUGUUCAUUUUGAUAUUAAAUUUAAUUUUGGUAUGAAAUCGCGACGUACGUGUAGUACUACGAUAAAACACAAUUUUCACCAACGCGCGUCACGCGUGAAGCGCCC